rnacentral:rRNA from 1 species
GACGAACCGUGCGAACGUUGUUCGGAAUCACUGGGCUUAAAGGGCGCGUAGGCGGGCUGACAAGUCUGGGGUGAAAUCCCACGGCUCAACCGUGGAACUGCCUCAGAUACUGUCGGCCUCGAGGGAGGUAGGGGCGUGCGGAACUGUAGGUGGAGCGGUGAAAUGCGUUGAUAUCUACAGGAACUCCGGUGGCGAAAGCGGCGCGCUGGACCUCUUCUGACGCUGAGGCGCGAAAGCUAGGGGAGCAAACGGG